AACUACUGCAGGAGGCAAUUCUCAUAAGUCACAGGGCUACACAUUCCUGAAAGUUCCAAACUGACCUGGGAUUUGUGCUGAAAUUUUUAAAUAGAGUUGGUUUUCUGCUGUGUCCUUAUAUCACAUUCUCAUGGAAGUUUGUAAAACCAUUUUUACCACCAAAUUCCAGUAGAUCUGGAAGAUACAAACCUAAAAGCAUGAUCACCUUUAUGGCAAUAGCAAGGUUGAGUGCGUACAAAACAGCUGGAAGAAAAGGGUAGGAAGCAGAUCUUGGAGGAAAUAAAAAUUCAGGAGUGAACCUGAAUGUGAGCUGGGCUGUAUAGUUCACAGAUUAACUCCUGUACCCAGCUCGAAGUAAUUGAUACCUUGUACUGCUCGUAUUCAAGAACAACACUAUCCUAGAUCCAUUUUUAACUUUACAUUGGCUUUUGUACUAUACUCACAUUGUACUCAUUACAUUAUUCCAUUACAGUGUUGUAAAACUGUAGGCGAUACUGAAUGAGCUUUAUUAACUUUCAGAGAGAGCACUUCAGUACAGAGUACUACAUCUGUAUUACUGUGAUUAUCAGCCAAUUGUACUAAUCCAGCAAUUAUAAACGCACGUACUAGAAAGGAGAAAUUACUCUCAUCUCAAGACAUGAAUGGUGUAAUUCCUUACUGUGCAGAGCCCCACUGAGGGCAUGAGCACCUGAACCACGAAGCACUCUCAACUGACAUUGAACUCAGUGAGAGUUAAGAGUACUUGGCAUACCACAGCAUUGGACUUCAAGUGUCUCAUGUGAACCACUGUGUAAAAUGUCACUGUGCAUUUGCAUGUUCUUUUUAUAAACGUAGUGAUGUCAGCGUGUCAUACAUCAUUAACAAAUGUGAAUUUACCUGAACCAGCCAAGGUGUUUUGAAGACAAGGUCAAGAAAUGGAGGCAGUAUCUUGAAGAAUAACAAGACAACAGAUACGCCAUAAAGAGGAAUGUUAAGGCGUGUGUCAUUUGAGCAAAAGCUCGCACACCUAAUGCUGAUUAAUUCUGCUGGACUGGGUAACUGGCUCCCCUGUGGAUAUCCUGUUUUCCUGUGAAUCAUUGUUCCUCCUUGAGACAUCCUCCAACUCAGAUCAAAGAUCCAAAAAGUAUUAGAUAUGAAGACAUCAGACAUCUCAAACAGAUUAGAAAAGACACGCACAAAGAAAUGCAUCCCAUCUUCUCUCUGAAAUAGGCGUGGUGAACACAAUCCUACACACUUACUAUAAAAUGAACAGUAGAAAGACAAAAGAACAAAGGAGAAUUUUGAAAUUUAGUUUACCCAGAGUCUUCUACAAAUUACCCUUUCUAUGUAUUUGCACUUUUGUACUCAGUUCUCUCUUGCAGUUGGAAACUCUUCAGGCUAGUCAUCUGAUGGAAAAUGACAUCUGUAAGCUUCGGCAAGAGCUGCAUGAACUGCGUCAGCAGAGGACUUAGUACUAUCAAUUUAAAUGUUGAGUCUUGCCUACAAACACACAAAUUAAAGGAACAUGAAAACACA